rnacentral:lncRNA from 1 species
UAAUUUUUAGAUUUUUUGUUUUUUGUUACGUAACAUUUUAAUUUAUUUAAUUUGAGCUAGUUAAUGAUUCUUUACUAUCAAAAUUUGAAUUUACGCACAUAGGUAGCAUAUUCUAUACAAUUCAUGCAACUAUAAAUUCAUUAAGAGAGCCGUCAAAUAAUUUAAAUCAAACAAAUUGAGAUGUUGGGUACUAAAAUCAAAGCUUCAAAAUAUUGAAUAGUCGAAUCAAAAUGACCCAUGAUUUAGACAAGUUUGUUUCGUACAUUUUGACCAAUCCAACAAUUACUUUUGAAAUCCUUCGCUAGUCAUGCUACCUCCAAAUUUGAGAACGCAAAAUCGGGAAAAAAAAAGAGCUGAUCAUCAAAACACUGACGUGAAGAAUAUCUCUGUAAUUAGAUUAUUGUAUCCAAACACACAGGAGGGAGGAGUGAUUCCUUCGUGCA